CCCUUAGAUGUUCUGGGCUGCACGCGCGCUACACUGAUGCGUUCAACGAGUGUACAACCUUGCCCGAUAGGGUUGGGUAAUCUUUUGAACACGCAUCGUGAUGGGGAUAGAUUAUUGCAAUUAUUAAUCUUCAACGAGGAAUUCCUAGUAAUGAUGGUUCAUCAGACCAUCGUGAUUACGUCCCUGCCCUUUGUACACACCGCCCGUCGCUCCUACCGAUUGAACAAUCCGGUGAAACCUCUGGACGCGUCUUAGUGGGGUUCCCUACUCUGAUACGGAAGGAGUUUAAACCUUAUUGUUUAGAGGAAGGAGAAGUCGUAACA
rnacentral:rRNA from 1 species